UUCAAAUUAGAAAUAUGGUGAAGUUGGUUGUUGUUUGUUAAUGUAACGAUACGAAGGGAAAUUUCAAGGCAUUGAAAUAAACAGGUGGAGGCUAAAGGGUUUCCCCCGAAAAUAUUUAUUUACAUGCGGCCUUCCAUCAAAACUUGGAGACAAACGAUUAUGGGGUUUUGUGUUUUUCAUGGACAGAAAUAAGACACAAAAAAAGUUGUUACUCAGUGGCAAUACGCUGGGCACGAAGAGCAUAGCUUUUCCACGCAUGACACUAACUACCUAUUCACAUGCCCCAUCGACCCCACUCAUCUAAUACCCCUCUCCCUCUGGACCCAACCUGUCGAAACAGCCGGUUUCCUGGGCCAACCUUUAGAUGGGCUAGACGAAGACGACCGGUAAUCUACACUACACUAACAGAAUUAAAU